GGCUGGUCCGAAGGUAGUGAGUUAUCACCAUUGAUUGUUCACCGUCAGUUACAGAUCGAGCUCCUUGUUCUACUCUUUCCCCACUUCUCACUACUGCACUUGACUAGUCACAA
rnacentral:Y_RNA from 1 species